rnacentral:rRNA from 1 species
UAGUCUCGCACAGAUGCAUAUCAAUAAGCGGAGGAAAAGAAACUAACAAGGAUUCCCUCAGUAACGGCGAGUGAAGCGGGAAGAGCUCAAAUUUGAAAUCUUGAAAGGUCACCUUUCACGAAUUGUAGUUUAAAGAAGUGUUUUCUGUUACGAUCGUAAUAUAAGUUCUUUGGAAUAGGACAUCACAGAGGGUGAGAAUCCCGUCUAUGAUUGCGAUUUGUAGCUUUGUGAUACACUUUCAAAGAGUCGGGUUGUUUGGGAAUGCAGCCCAAAACGGGAGGUAAAUUUCUUCUAAGGCUAAAUAUUGGCGAGAGACCGAUAGCGAACAAGUACCGUGAGGGAAAGAUGAAAAGAACUUUGAAAAGAGAGUUAAAUAGUACGUGAAAUUGUCAAAAGGGAAGCGUUUAACACCAGUGUUGUUUUCUGAAAAUCAACCUCUGUUAGCUUUAUGCAUGUUUGUUUAGACCUAAUCAGCUAUCUUUCAUGUUCUAUUGUUUGCAGUGGUGCACUUUUCAGUUUACAGGUCAACAUCAGUUUUUUUUACCGUAAAAAAGUUAAAGAAAGGUAGCUCAUGGCUCCGGUCGUGAGUGUUAUAGUCUUUUUCCUAUGCGGUAGGAGAGACUGAGGUCUGCAGUGUAGGCUAUUUGGCUAGAUACUCAGGUGCUAUGUGAUACCAUUUCAUAAACAACUUGUUGAUUAUGUUUUGUCUAUUGCAUACUCGCUUGUACUAUCAUACCUACGCUUAGGAUGUUGAGUCGUAGAGCACGCAG